rnacentral:tRNA from 1 species
CAGGAUAAAAAAGAGGUAUCUCGCUGGGCUCAUUAUCCAGAAGUCACAGGUUCGAACCCUGUUCCUGCUA